rnacentral:rRNA from 1 species
AUUGAACGCUGGCGGCAGGCCUAACACAUGCAAGUCGAACGAGUGGCGGACGGGUGAGUAACGUCUGGGAAACUGCCUGAUGGAGGGGGAUAACUACUGGAAACGGUAGCUAAUACCGCAUACCAUCAGAUGUGCCCAGGUGGGAUUAGCUAGUGGGGGGGGUAACGGCUCACCAAGGCGACGAUCCCUAGCGGGUCUGAGAGGAUGACCAGCCACACUGGAACUGAGACACGGUCCAGACUCCUACGGGAGGCAGCAGUGGGAAAUAUUGGACAAUGGGCGCAAGCCUGAUGCAGCCAUGCCGCGUGUGUGAAGAAGGCCUUCGGGUUGUAAAGUACUUUCAGCGGGGAGGCGUUACCCGAAGAAGAAGCACCGGCUAACUCCGUGCCAGCAGCCGCGGUAAUUC